GACGAACGCUGGCGGCGUGCCUAAUACAUGCAAGUAGGACGCAGUUGCGAACGGGUGAGUAACGCGUAGGUCACUCCCUCUUAGAGGGGGAUAACUAUUGGAGACGAUAGCUAAUACCGCAUACUCGUAGAUGGACCUGCGUUGUAUUAUCUAGUAGGUAGGGUAAUGGCCUACCUAGGCAACGAUACAUAGCCGACCUGAGAGGGUGAGCGGCCACACUGGGACUGAGACACGGCCCAGACUCCUACGGGAGGCAGCAGUAGGGAUUCUGCGGCAAUGGGGGGAACCCUGACCGGGCAACGCCGCGGGAGUGAAGAAGUUUUUCGGAGCGUAAAGCUCUGUUGUUAAGGAAGCGGUACUUAACCAGAAAGGGACGGCUAACUACGUGCCAGCAGCCGCGGUAAUAC
rnacentral:rRNA from 1 species